rnacentral:misc_RNA from 1 species
GAUGAAGAACGUAGCGAAAUGCGAUACGUAAUGUGAAUUGCAAAUUCAGUGAAUCACCGAGUCUUUGAACGCACAUUGCGCCCCCUGGUAUUCCGGGGGGCAUGCCUGUCCGAGCGUCAUUGCUGCCCUCAAGCACGGCUUGUGUGUUGGGCCCCGUCCUCCGAUCCCGGGGGACGGGCCCGAAAGGCAGCGGCGGCACCGCGUCCGGUCCUCGAGCGUAUGGGGCUUUGUCACCCGCUCUGUAGGCCCGGCCGGCGCUUGCCGAUCAACCCAAAUUUUUUAUCCAGGUUGACCUCGGAUCAGGUAGGGAUACCCGCUGAACUUAAGCAUAUCAAUAAGCGGAGGA